rnacentral:rRNA from 1 species
CCUACGGGUGGCUGCAGUGGGGAAUAUUGGACAAUGGGGGGAACCCUGAUCCAGCCAUGCCGCGUGUGUGAAGAAGGCCCUCGGGUUGUAAAGCACUUUCAGUGAGGAAGAACGCCUGGUGGUUAAUACCCAUCAGGAAAGACAUCACUCACAGAAGAAGCACCGGCUAACUCCGUGCCAGCAGCCGCGGUAAUACGGAGGGUGCGAGCGUUAAUCGGAAUUACUGGGCGUAAAGCGCGCGUAGGUGGCUUGAUAAGCCGGUUGUGAAAGCCCCGGGCUCAACCUGGGAACGGCAUCCGGAACUGUCAAGCUAGAGUGCAGGAGAGGAAGGUAGAAUUCCCGGUGUAGCGGUGAAAUGCGUAGAGAUCGGGAGGAACACCAGUGGCGAAGGCGGCCUUCUGGACUGACACUGACACUGAGGUGCGAAAGCGUGGGUAGCAAACAGGAUUAGAUACCCUUGUAGUC